rnacentral:lncRNA from 1 species
GCUAACUGACUCUGGGCUCUAUUCCAGAACCCUGAGAUCAUGACCUGAGCUGAAUGCAGACGCUCAACUGGCUCAGCCACCCAGGCGCCCCAACAACAAAGUUUUAGAAUAAAAGCACGUUCUAGCACAUUCUUGUAUCCACCAAUAAAAUCAACAAACUGACAUCUAGACAGUUCUUUCAUGUUGGACAUGUGAUAAAACAUCCAAGUAGAUGAGAACACCGGCUGAAGGAGGAUGAAGCUUUUAUUGCCAGUCAUUAAGUAUUGAUUCUUACCUCUUUUCUGCCGCUGAGUUACCUAAUGAAGCUGUGGGAAAUUAAGUAAUGAGCGGACUAUUUAACUAGGAAUCAGCAGGCAGGGUGAGAUGAAAGCUAAAUGCCGGACAAAGGUGACGGACCAGGUACAAAAUUAAAUCUACGAGUAAUGAUAAUUUGCAGUACCAUGUCUCAUUUUCACUUUGUAUCUUAUUCCCUAGAGCUUCCAAAGUGAUGAAUGGGAGUUACUGUUCAUUUCAUUUUAUUCUCAG